rnacentral:rRNA from 1 species
UACGAAGGGGGCUAGCGUUGCUCGGAAUCACUGGGCGUAAAGGGUGCGUAGGCGGUUUGGUAAGUCUGAUGUGAAAUCUAUGGGCUCAACUCAUAGUCUGCAUCGGAAACUGCCGGGCUUGAGUGUGGGAGAGGUGAGUGGAAUUCCUGGUGUAGCGGUGAAAUGCGUAGAUAUCAGGAGGAACACCUGUGGCGAAAGCGGCUCACUGGACCAUAACUGACGCUGAUGCACGAAAGCUAGGGAGCAAACAGG